CACCACCCUGUUAAGCAGGUAUUAGUGUUAUUCCAAUUUCACAGAUAACUUGUCCCACAGAGACACCACGGUAUUUCCACCCAGGUCAGGACAAACCUGGGAUUUGAACACAGUUCCCUGGCUCCAGGGUGUUGUCCUGAAACCUCAUGGCCACAUCAGUGAAGCUCUAGGUCAAACUGUCUCAAGGCAGAUAACCCUCCUGGAGGGGUGAGAAAAGACUUCAAUGAGAAAGACUGGUCACCUCUUUCAGGAGGAACCCAGAACCACAAGGAGCCCCAAGGGCUGGCUGGCCUACAGCAAAAACCCCUAAGUCAGCAUAGAAGACAACUAAUGGUGGAGGAAGGCUUCAGGUAAAG